UACGUAGGGCGCAAGCGUUGUCCGGAAUUAUUGGGCGUAAAGAGCGCGUAGGCGGUCUGUUACGUCCGCUGUGAAAACCCAGGGCUUAACCCUGGGCUUGCAGUGGAUACGGGCAGACUAGAGGCAGGUAGGGGAGAAUGGAAUUCCCGGUGUAGCGGUGAAAUGCGCAGAUAUCGGGAGGAACACCGGUGGCGAAGGCGGUUCUCUGGGCCUGACCUGACGCUGAGGAGCGAAAGCGUGGGGAGCGAACAGG
rnacentral:rRNA from 1 species